GGGCCCGCACAAGCAGUGGAGUAUGUGGUUUAAUUCGAAGCAACGCGAAGAACCUUACCAGGUCUUGACAUCGCACGCAUUACCUAGAGAUAGGGAAGCCCUUCGGGGCGUGUAGACAGGUGGUGCAUGGUUGUCGUCAGCUCGUGUCGUGAGAUGUUGGGUUAAGUCCCGCAACGAGCGCAACCCUUACAGUUAGUUGCUACGCAAGAGCACUCUAACAGGACUGCCGUUGACAAAACGGAGGAAGGUGGGGAUGACGUCAAAUCAUCAUGCCCCUUAUGACCUGGGCCACACACGUACUACAAUGGCCAUCAACAGAGGGGUGCAAAGCCGCGAGGCAGAGCAAAUCUCAAAAAAUGGUCUCAGUUCGGAUUGCAGGCUGCAACUCGCCUGCAUGAAGCCGGAAUUGCUAGUAAUCGCGAAUCAGCAUGUCGCGGUGAAUACGUUCCCGGGCCUU
rnacentral:rRNA from 1 species